rnacentral:hammerhead_ribozyme from 1 species
AUCCAGCUGACAAGUCCAAAAAAGGACGAAACGCGCGUCGAACUGGAU